UUUAAAUUUUAAUAAUAUUUAACUAUUACCAACAAAUUUCUUAACAAACAUUAUUUGUACUGGUACAGCAUAAAUUAGAAAAUACUCACAGUGACACCCAACACUUAAAAAAAAUACAUAAAGGAUCCAUGCAAAAACUAAGGCUGUACACAGGCUAAGCAUCAGGUGAGCACAUUUACCAAAACAGGAACAGGAAACAGGAAGCCGUAGCACCAAGUACAAAACAGUCCAAGAUGCAAUGUCCCCAUGUGGCUGCUUAAUCUCUUAAGAAAUGCAUUACAGUUGUGCAUCUCAUGAAGCAUGUAAAUUCACAUUCCAUUUUACUGUGCCUAAUCAGAUUUAGCCUUCCUGUUACUCCCUAGGGCAGCAUAAUAUUUUUAAUUGGCCCCUGUGUGUGUGUAUGUGCAGGUACAUGCAUAAGAUAUUGUCAGAAGAAGGCAUCAGAUGAAGGCAAAAACAAUCCUGCAGUAGGAGACAUCUGUAAAAAGGCCAAAAGUAAGAGAAUUAAAAAUAAAGUGAAAGAGGAUGAACAGGGUUGUCAACUAAAGCAGAGAAACGAAGGGAAGGGAGACACUAGGUGGACCCCAUGGGGACGUCAGGCCGACAGAGACGGUCACGCUGUGUUGUGGGGGGACAGAGAAGGACGAGAGGACACGUGUCUCAGAGAGGACGGAAGCAGCCAUGCGACUCUACAACCAGACGGGGUCAGCUGUCAGAGCAAGGCCUGCUGGGAAUGGGGCAGGAGAGGUGGCCGACAGGUGUCCAGACACAAGGACUGAAUUGUGAGCAUCUCAGUAGUGUGCGGCAACCAGGAGCGAUGGCUUUAUUUAAGGGGUCUGAGCAUGAGUUACUGUACUUGACUUUUUUUGAGCAUUAAAGUAUAGUGCACCUAAAAAUGAAUAUUGUGCCAUCAUUGCAUUAUUUAAAAUGUAUAAUAUGUGUAUAAUUAUGUUAAUAUUUUUUAUUUUUUAUUUUUACAAUGAAUGAAAAUGGGGUCCAAUUUUG
ensembl:lncRNA